rnacentral:rRNA from 1 species
GACGAACGCUGGCGGCGUGCCUAAUACAUGCAAGUCGAACGAAGCUGUUUUAACUGGUGCUUGCACCGACUUAAACAACUGAGUGGCGAACGGGUGAGUAACACGUGGGUAACCUGCCCCAAAGCGGGGGAUAACAUUUGGAAACAGAUGCUAAUACCGCAUAACCACAGAAACCACAUGGUUUCUGUGUCAAAGAUGGUUUCGGCUAUCACUUUGGGAUGGACCCGCGGCGUAUUAGAUAGUUGGUAAGGUAAUGGCUUACCAAGGCAAUGAGACGUAGCCGAACUGAGAGGUUGAUCGGCCACAUUGGGACUGAGACACGGCCCAAACUCCUACGGGAGGCAGCAGUAGGGAAUCUUCCACAAUGGACGAAAGUCUGAUGGAGCAACGCCGCGUGAGUGAAGAGGGUUUUCGGAUCGUAAAACUCUGUUGUCAGAGAAGAACGUGUGCGAGAGUAACUGUUCGUGCAGUGACGGUAUCUGGCCAGAAAGCCACGGCUAACUACGUGCCAGCCGCCGCAGUAA